AUGAUAUGCUUCUUCGCAGUCGAGUGGCACUUUGUAGACCGUGUGGCAAGACAAUUUGGAAAAAGACAAGGUAUUCCAAUUGAGGAGAGCAAGGAGGAAAUGCUAUCUCUGCAUCGGUUCGAUCGAAGGAACAAUCAGGAUAUAUCGGAUUGGGCAAACAAACACCGUGCGUGGAUAGAAAUUUGGAAUCAAAGAGACACAUUAGUGCAAUCAGAGAAUAGACCUUACAAUCAGUCAGCAUAUCAGAAGUAUCAAGUGUGGUAUGCGGAUCGUUACCGGUUAAAGCUGAAGCCAGGUUGGACUCACGAAGAGUGGUCGGAGUUGGUGUCUGAAGACCCGGAGACUGCAAAAGGUUAUCAUACCUUCAACACGGCUGUGAGAGACACCAGAGGGGCUCAUGUUGACUACGCACCGAUGCAUGACGAAAUGGUAGUCUGUUUGACCUAUUCUAACAUACUUGCAUCAUGUUGUCUUCUUUCAAAUACAUAA
rnacentral:rRNA from 1 species